AAUCUACAUGAAUAUUGAGAAUUUCGCACAAAAACAGUCUGACGCUCAACCUCUCAGCCUCCGAUAAAAUUGAACAAUGAACGGAUUUUCUGUGAGUUGUAAAUGACGUUAGAAGAGGAGUGUGCACAUGUGAAAGUAGAGGUAGAGAAGAGGAUUCAAGAACAAUGUUGAUUUCAUGACCAUAAUGCAACAAGGACAGGGUUCUUAAACAAUGGUGUAGAUCAAAGCAAAGUUUCAAGGCACUUAAUAUUUUGUUUUUCGGGUCAUGUGUAUAUUUGUACAAUGAUAUAUUGUAAUUAACUUUUUAAUAAUUGAAGUAUUUAUAAAA